AACGAACGCUGGCGGCAUGCCUAACACAUGCAAGUCGAACGAGACCUUCGGGUCUAGUGGCGCACGGGUGCGUAACGCGUGGGAACCUGCCCUUAGGUUCGGAAUAACUCCCCGAAUGGGGUGCUAAUACCGGAUAAUGUCCUCGGACCAAAGAUUUAUCGCCUUUGGAUGGGCCCGCGUUGGAUUAGCUAGGUGGUAGGGUAAAAGCCUACGAAGGCGACGAUCCAUAGCUGGGCGGAGAGGAUGAUCAGCCACACGAGGGCUGAGACACGGCCCCGACUCCUACGGGAGGCAGCAGUGGGGAAUGGAGAACGAUGGGCGACAGGAUGAAGCAGCUAUGCGGGGAGGAUGAUGGAGGUCUUAGGGUAGAGAGGCUCUAGUACCCGGGAAGAUAGUGACGGUACCGGGAGAAUAAGCUACGGCUAAAUACGUG
rnacentral:rRNA from 1 species